rnacentral:tRNA from 4 species
GCCCAGGUGGCGGAAUUGGUAGACGCGCUAGCUUCAGGUGCUAGUUUCCGUAUGGAAGUGGAAGUUCGAGUCUUCUCCUGGGCACCA